rnacentral:lncRNA from 1 species
AUGUUCCCCUUGGGGACACCCAGCUGCACCCCAUGGACCUCUGGGACCCCCAUGUCCCCAUUGGGGACACCCAGCACCCACUUAGGGACCUCUAGGUCCCCCCAACAUCUGCUUUGGGGGCACCCACCACCAAAUCAAGGAGCUCCGGGACCCCCGCGUCCUUCUGAGGACACCUGGCACCAGCGCAGGGACCUCUGGGAGCCUCCAGCAUCUUCUUUGGGGGCGCUUGCCACCAAACCAAGGAGCUCUGGGACCCCCACAUCCCCCCUUGGGGACACCCAGCUGCACCCCAUGGACCUCCGGGACCCCCAUGUUCCCCUGGGAGCAUCCGGCACCAACUCGGGGACCGCCAGGACUCCCCCCCCAACAUCUGCUUUGGGGGGCACCUGCCCGCCGAAUCAAGGUCCUCCAGCACCCCAACGCCCCCCCCCCGCGGNNNNNNNNNNNNNNNNNNNNNNGUUUCCCCACAUCCUCCUGGGGGCACCCGGCACCGAAUCAAGGACCUCUGGGACCCUCCCAAGUCCCUCUAUGGGGGCAGCUGCCAGCAAAUCAAGGACUUCUGGGACCCCCACGUCCUACCUGGGGGCACCUGGCACCCAUCUCUGGGACCCCCCCCAACAUCCCCUCGUGGGCACCCACCACCAAAUUAAGGACCUCGGGGUCCCCCACGUCCUACCAGGCUGCACCCACUGCCAAAUCGAGGAGCUCCAGGACCCCCACGUCCUACCCAGGGGCACCCACCACCAAAUCAAGGACUUCUGGGACCCCCGCAUCCUACCCGGGGGCACCCACCACCAAAUCGAGGACCUCUAGGACCCCUGUGUCUCCUUGGGGAGACCCAUCAGCACCCCUUGGAGCUCUGGGUCCCCCACGUCCUACCUGGGGGCACCCGCUACCAAGUCAAGGACCUUUGGGACCCCUACCUCUUACCUGAGGGCACCCACGACCAAAUCAAGGAUCUUUGGGACCCCCAUGCCUACCUGGCGGUACCCACCACCAAAUUGAGGAUCUCUAGGACCUCCAUGUCUCCUUGGGGAGACCCAUCAGCAGCACCCCAUGGACCUCUGGGUCCCCCACGUCCUACUUGGGGGCACCCAUCACCACAUUGAGGACCUCUAGGACCCCCAUGUCCUACCCGGGGGCACCCACCACCAAGUUGAGGACCUUUAGGACUCUCAUGUCUCCUUGAGGAGACUCAUCAGCGCCCCAUGGACAUCUGGGUCCCCCACGUCCUACCUGGGGGCACCCACCACCAAGUUGAGGACCUCUGGGUCCCCUACGUCCUACCCGGUGGCACCCACCACCAAAUCGAGGACCUCUAGGACCCUCAUGUCUCCUUGAGGAGACCCAUCAGCA